CCGUUCAGCCUAGUUCCGCAAACCUAAUCCUCCCACGCACUCCCUCCGCCGCCGGCGCACCCAAAUUCCCCAAACCUUAUCCUCUCACGUGUUGCCUUCGCCGCCGGCCAAUAGCCAUCUAGCAGCCCGCACGCCGUCACCGCGGCAGCGAGGUUGCGGCACUGUCCCCAUCAUCCUCCUGCACCCCUACCGCUAACCCUAGCUUGUGCCCGAUCACCUUCAACCACCAAGGCCCGAUGGUGGACGCCGUCGUUCAUCUCAGAUCCAGGGGUGUGAGAGACGUGGGUCACCUGGGAGACAGAGCACUCACACCCUCCUCGUCACCCAGGCCCGCACCGCCGCCGCCACGCCAUGGGCCUCCUCCGAUCUGCAGUCGCCGGUUUGUUUGAAGGAGGAUCUGGCCGUUGACUGGUGGUGCUUCCCCUCCCCGGGGAAGAAGAUCCACGAUGACUUGUGGUAGUACUUCUACCCAGAAAGCAGCUCCUCGGUCGGGAGCUUGAGCUCGAGCAGACUGUAAAGAACAGGGGCUCUAUCUGCUAAUGGGGUAGCCCGAAAUGCAGUCUAAGAGCUAGCUACUGCUCGUGUGAUUUCUGGAGAUGAGAGGAUGAUAACUUGAGAGGAACAAGCUUGGUGCUAUGAUUGCAAAAACAAAAUCUAUACUACAGGUAAGAGUUGAGACACCAUACACAAGCCCUGCAAGCGGGCAGAAAUACACCUCUUCGUCAACAACUUCUACAAGGAUGAUAUUAACCUAGAGGCUGGAGCCUUGCCACUCUUUCCGUCCAACAACAAGGUAUCGUUUACUUUUUCUCUCCCCACAUCCAAUUCUUCCCUGUUCCUGUGCCUCAUGCUUAUUUCUUGCUGUAGGGCAACACACUGCAAGUGCUUGUUAAAUUGUUAGUCUCAAUGCUCCAAUUCUAGCAGAAGGAUUUUUGGUAGGAAGACAUAGCAUCACUCACGGUUGUAUAGAUUUACUGUUGUAUUUCUAUAUUUUUGCAAAAUUAGUUCUGUAAAACUUGCAGAUUAGUUCAGUCCUUAAGUGGUUUUACACCUGGGCUUUUAUUAACUUACAACUCUUUCCUCUGUAAUUCUGUGUUCUGUAGAACUUAGUUCAAUUUUUAUGGAAUCAAGAUAAAAUACAUAUCUAGCAGUUUGUAUUUGUACAGUCAUGCUUCUAUAAAUUUUAUAGUUGUUUUUUCUCCAUAAAUUUCCUUCGGUAGUUCUGUAGCUUCCAGAAUAGUUCAGAUGUUAAGUGGUUUUACUCUUAGGCUUGUAUACGUCUGCAACCUUUUUUUAUCUGUAAUUUUGGAACAUUUGUUCUGUAAAACUUCAGUUCAGUUUCUGGAAAACAAGAUUAAAUACGUAUUUGUAAAACUUCAGUUCAGUUUCUGGAAACAAGAUUCAAUACGUAUCUUAUCAGUUUCUAAGUUGCAGUCAUGCUUCUACACAUUUUACAGUUGUAUUUUCUGUGAAUUUGCUUCAGUCGUUCUGUAAAACAUUCAGAAUAGUUCACUUCUGGAAUGAAGAGUUAAUAUGUAUUAAGUGGUUUUGUAAUUUAUCUUUUUUGCUUUUAUAGAUUUCCAGCUGUAUUUUAUUUGUAAUUUUUCCUCAGUAGUUCUGGAAUGAAGUAAUUAAGCUGCUGUUCUAAUUUAUUCUCAGUCUUUUUCUAUAGAUAUUACAGUUGCAUUUUUCUGUAAUUUACACUUAGACUGAAUUAAGUUGUAUCGGUUUGCAUAUAUAUACUGUUCCGUUGGGUAUAGAUUACUUUUUCUCUAUCUAAUUUAUAGCUUUUUGUAUAUAUGAAUGUUUUCUAUAUAAUACUUAAGUGGUCUUCUGAAUUAUACAUUAUUUGCUUCCAUAUACUACUGAAAUGAGUUCUGGUUCCAGAUGUGAAGAGAAGAACAAGGGAUCGAACAUAUGUGAAAAUGAUGAAGUGAUUCUGUGAGGAACUUACCAGGCUUUCUCCAUGUUCAGGUGCAAAGGGGCCUCAAGUGCAGCGUUCAGGUUCAGUGCACUUAUUACGCUGUCACGUUUUUUUCUGAGUCUAUUUUGGUUUGCAGACGUUUUUGGUCGCGUGAUGUAAAUUCACACAUACAUUUAUAUUUUCUAUUCGUAUUCAUGUUACUCUAUAAAUGUUAGAUAUCUAGGAAUGUUGCCAUGUUCCAUUCUUUAUAUACUAAAUAUAAAUAUCCAUCCCAAUUUUUUUGUGUAGAUGAAAAUUGAGGCACUUUCUUUACUCUGUUCUAAAAGGUAUGACCAAGUUCAUUUGUUGUAACUACAAACUAGAAUAUGUAUAUGGACCUGACUUUUGUUAUUGGAGGUGAGCAUAUAUUUGUGUUGGAAAUGCCCUCUUAAAUAUUUUCAGAUUCAGAUUUGAUGUCGAGCUAGCUAAUUAGUAUUAGAAUCCCUAUUUUUAAUGUAGCCUUUUUUAGACAAUUAAAUAUAUGCCACUUCAAGAGGCGUAGAUUGUCAAGUCGUGGUUAGCAUCGGAAAUUGUCCGUGUACAUUAUUUGCUAGAGAUUUUAGUUCUGCCACUAAUACCAUCAUUUUCUUAUUCAUGUUUGGUGAAAUCUCGAGUUAAAUCUCUAUAGUACCUUGGUUUAUCGCAUCAGGAAUUAGUUAAGCCAUGGACACGUGACAUGGUUUUGUAGACAUCUUCCUCAUUUUCUUUCUGCUCCUUCCUUUCAAUUAUGGCAACUUCUACUGCAUACGAAUGCCUAGUUGUUGUAUCUGCUCCUCUUACCUAGUUCCUCAUAUGACACUUUCUGUUAUUUGAAUUGUUACAUGUUCUGAUUGCAUGACUUAGGUGAUCUUUUUUCCAGUUUUGGUAUGGAUAGCUAAGCCCUUCUAUUAUUUCUAGAAACUAGUGUGUAAGCAGUCAACACUAUUUACAUGUGAAUGUUUAAAGAUGUAAUAUCAUUUCUAGCAGCAUGUGGUUCACUAAACAAAAAAAGGGUCUGCUUCACAUAUGGAAUGUUUGCAAAUUAAAAAAAUCAAAGGAAAUUCAGUUUUUGAUAGUGUAUUAUAAUUGGGACUUGUUUAACUUUUGUAGGAAGCAAACAGAAGGACUGCUCUCACAAGGGUACAUGAAGCUAGUGAUCCACGUCAACUGGAUAUUUUAGCUUUAAUUUUGUACAACUAUGUCUUAUUUUAGAACCUUUUGUGAACAUUAUGUAUGUUGUCUUGGUGGCUAUGUUUAGAACAGAUUGAAGUAUAUGUAUCUGACAAAUUUUUAAUGGAAUAAAAAAUGUUUGGUGUACCUGA